GCCAGGUGUGGUGAUGCACACCUGUAAUCCCAGUGCCUUGAGAGGCUGAGGCAGGAGGAUCAGGUUCAAAGCCAGCCUCAGCAACUUAGCUAUGCUGUAAGCAACUCAGUGAGACCUUGUCUCAA
rnacentral:sRNA from 1 species